rnacentral:rRNA from 1 species
GACGAACGCUGGCGGCGUGCUUAACACAUGCAAGUCGAGCGGAAAGGCCCUUUCGGGGGUACUCGAGCGGCGAACGGGUGAGUAACACGUGAGUAACCUGCCCUUCACUUUGGGAUAACCCUCGGAAACGGGGGCUAAUACCGGAUAUGACUGCUGGCCGCAUGGUUGGUGGUGGAAAGAUUUUUUGGUGGGGGAUGGGCUCGCGGCCUAUCAGCUUGUUGGUGGGGUGAUGGCCUACCAAGGCGACGACGGGUAGCCGGCCUGAGAGGGCGACCGGCCACACUGGGACUGAGACACGGCCCAGACUCCUACGGGAGGCAGCAGUGGGGAAUAUUGCACAAUGGGCGGAAGCCUGAUGCAGCGACGCCGCGUGAGGGAUGACGGCCUUCGGGUUGUAAACCUCUUUCAGCACCGACGAAGCGAGAGUGACGGUAGGUGCAGAAGAAGCGCCGGCCAACUACGUGCCAGCAGCCGCAGUAAUAC